rnacentral:rRNA from 1 species
GAUGAACGCUGGCGGCGUGCCUAACACAUGCAAGUCGAGCGAACGGACCAUAAGCUUGUUUCUUUGAUGUUAGCGGCGGACGGGUGAGUAACACGUGGAUAACCUACUUAUAUGACUGGGAUAACUUCGGGAAACCGGAGCUAAUACCGGAUAAUAUUUUGAACCGCAUGGUUCAAAAGUGAAAGACGGUCUUGCUGUCACUUAUAGAUGGUUCCGCGCUGCAUUAGCUAGUUGGUAAGGUCGCGGCUUACCAAGGCGACGAUGCAUAGCCGACCUGAGAGGGUGAUCGGCCACACUGGAACUGAGACACGGUCCAGACUCCUACGGGAGGCAGCAGUAGGGAAUCUUACGCAAUGGGCGAAAGCCUGACGGAGCAACGCCGCGUGAGUGAUGAAGGUCUUCGGAUCGUAAAGCUCUGUUAUUAGGGAAGAACAGAUGUGUGAGUAACUGUGCCCGUCUUGACGGUACCUAAUCAAGAAGCAACGGCUAACUACGUG